UCCUGCAUGUGGUGUCUGGGCGCCAGGCAGGGUGGUGGCCGCCGUGCUGUCCUUGGCUCAGGGAGGAGUCUGAGCUCUAAUGUUAACGUAACUAAAAACGCUAAAUCCAUCCCAUAUUCUCGGACACUUUCAGCUCGCGUCAAAUAUUUCCUUAGGCCACAGAGGAGUUAAGUUCUCAUGAGUGUUUUUCAUGUUCAUGGUCCAGAAUCCUUGCCAGACUAUCAUUAGGCUCAUUAAACUACCCAUGAAAAUGCCCACAACCUCUAUGAAAGAAAGCCUUACCAAAUGUGGGUGUGUGAGCCCUGAAAUGUCUUGAGAAUAUGGGACUAAAUCCAGCAUUGAGAGUCACAGGUUCUCCUUAACAUUUUCAUCAAAGAGAAAGAAAAUAAUCAAGAAUGGUGUUAGGUUUGCAGGAAUGUAUUUGACUGGUAUUCAAUACAAUAUGUAACUUAACACAUAGUACUCAAUUUUCCCUUUGUAACUCUCAGUGCAAGCUAAAACUUUGUCCAGCGUGUUUUUUGUUUUUUUUGCUUUCACUGAGCACCAAUUGCCAUGUAUUUAUUUUUAUUUUGCUGCCUCCCCCCCCUGGUGUGUUCUGUUCCCUGGGUCUGGUCCCCGCCCUGCCUGGCGCCACAUUGGGUUAUGGUGGUGGUGAACACUGUUGUUAGCUGAACCAAUGCACACUUCAAUAGUUGUACUAGAGCUAAACAUAAAUGUAGAUGAGUCUCAUAAUCUUAAUGUCUUUUAUAAGCUGUCUUUUAUAAACUUUUUCAUGAUACAUGUGUGUGUGUGUGUGUGUGUGUGUGUGUGUGUGUGUGUGUGUGUGUGUGUGUGUGUGUUUUAUAGAAUUUCUACUUCACUAGAAUAGUAUUGUUAUUCACUUUCUCUAAGACAAAAUGUACUUUACUUAACCUUAAAAAUGAAGCAAGAUCCUGUCUGCAUUACUGUAGUUUUAUCUAAAAUUGUGGGUUAUACUUGUAUUUUGUGUUUUUGCACGAGCAGAAGUUAAGGUUUAACGAAGUUGUGUGUUGUUGGCAAGACUGUAAGAGUCAUGGGCUUGUUAUUCAGAGUUUGAGACAUUAUAUCAUUGCAUUGAUUCGCUAAAUAACGAUUACUUCAACACUACCUGAAGAGCCAUUAAAUUUUAAGGUUUUUAGCAUUACAUAAAUUAGGCGAGCAUUGUUCAAUCAUGUGAAAUUAUAAAAUCUUAGGAGUGUCCAGGGCUGGGUGAAUUUUGAGCUGUUGGUUUAGUUAGAAUGUAGGGCUGAAUAAUGUUUGGAAAUGACAGUGAUAUGGAUUAGGAUACAGAGACGGGUAUGCAAGGAAUGUGUGGCAGAAUAGGAGGAUUGGAUUGCGUAACACCCUUGGCAACACUUAAGGAGGUGAGGUGUGAAUUAAAGGGAAAAAAAGUAAAAAUGAAACUGAGAAGGAAGACAUGAAGAGGAGCAAUUACUGACUGAAAUAUAUAGGGUUGAAUAGGAGAGUUAAAUAUCCUUGACAAAACUUAAAGAAUGAUGAGAAAGAAAUGUAUAAGUGAAACCAUAAUAGGAAGGCAUGAAAAGGGCAUGUAUUGAUUGAGAAAUGUAGGGUUGAGUAGGAAGGUUAAGAUGCUUCAUAAUUAACCUAUCUUUCGGCCUCUCCUCUGGACUCUUUUUGGGAGCAGUGAGUAGCGAGCUUUUUUUUUAUUAUUAUUAUUAUUUUUUUUUUUACUGUCUCCUUUGCUGUAAAAAAAAAGAAGCCUUUGAGAACUAAUUUAUGCAAGACAGCUACUGUGAAAAGAGGAAAGUUUAGCAGAAGAGAAAAGAACACAACGAACUGGUCUUGGCUGAUGAAUAUUUGGCAGGAUAGGAUGAGGAUGAUCGAGAUUCUUAAUGAGUUGAAUAAUAACUUUGGGAAUUACACUUCAUAGGAGAUGGUAAAGAAAGGUAGGAAAGGGAUAAAAAAAUGGUUAGAAUGUUGAAAUGGUAGAAAACUGUAAAAUAUAUGUGAGGGAGAGUAAGUAUUAAUUGAGGAAUGUGCAGCAAGAACUAGAUGAGAAAGGACCGUUGUGGAAUGCAAGGAAUGUGGAUGUUGACUCACCACUUCUAAGAAAGUACGUGUGAGGACGUGAGGGAAAGAAGUAUGAGUGAAGCGAGUAGGAAAAGUUAUGAAGGAUGUGUUGAUGCAUUUGUAAGAAGUUAAGAGUGAGAUGUUUUAAGUGGUUCAAGUGCAUUUGUCGCCAUUGUAGGGAUUGAGAAAAGGCUUUGGUAAUUGAAUAAAAGAAUGAAUUUUGCAAGUAUGAAAAGGCUUGAAUUGGGUGGUAUGAAGGAAUUGCAUUACUAAAAAGCUGAGCUACAUGUUAAGUGCUUUGAAUGUUGAUGUUACCAGCAUUGAGUGUUAAAAUUUUUGGGGUCAGAAAGAACAGUGAAUUAUCCAAGUAGAGAAAGGUUAAAGGGGAGGGGAGGGCAUGAUGAUUCAUAUACAAGAAGUUGACAUUAAGUACUUUGAAUGUUUGUAUUAGCAGUGUAUGCGUGUCAAAAUUUUAGGUGUUGGAAAGGACAGGAAAAUACGCUCACAGGAAAAGCUUGAACGGAAGGGGAGGGCAUGUUGAUGAUUAUAUAAGAAGCGAGUUAGACAGUAAGCGCUUUGAAUGUUUGUAUUGGCAGUGUUAUGCGUGUCCAAACUUAGAUGUCGGAAAGAGCAGCGAAUCAUGGAAGCAGGGAAAAGUUAAAUGGAAAGUGAAUGCAAUUAUACGCAGCGAGGUAGAGUUAAGCACUUUGAAUGUUUGUAUCGCCAGUGUUAUGUGUGUUCAGGUAUUAGGUGUCGGAAAGAGCAACGAAAGCAAGCAGGAAUCAAGCAGGAAAAGGUUAAAUGGAAAGUGAAUGCAAUUAUACGCAGCGAGGUAGAGUUAAGCACUUUGAAUGUUUGUAUCGCCAGUGUUAUGUGUGUUCAGGUAUUAGGUGUCGGAAAGAGCAACGAACGCAAGCAGGAAUCAAGCAGGAAAAGGUUAAAUGGAAGGUGAAUGCAAUUAUACGCAGCGAGGUAGAGUUAAGUGCUUUGAAUGUUUGUAUCGCCAGUGUUGUGUGUGAGUCAAAACAUUAGUCGCUGGGUCUUAAUAAACGCUUGAAUGUCAAAUCCUCACUGUUGUUUUAAUGUGCACUUACUAGUUGAUAAAUGGGUUGUGAAUGUGGGUUGAAGGAGCUUGCUGGCGACUCAGUGUAGAAGGUUUGUUUGAUGAGAGAGUCCUUUGGGAAGAGUAGGCACGGUGUAGAAUCGUGAAGAUGAAGAGGCUGAAUGAGUUGAUGAUGAGAAAUAGUUAGGAUGACGAAAAAGAUGGUAAAGAAUGGUAGGAAAAGGGUAGAGAAAUUAUUAGAAUGUUGAAAUGGUAGGAAAUAAUAGACAAAUGGUUGGAGUAUGUAGGAAGAUGUUACAAUUUAUUUAUUUAUUUAUUUAUAUACAGCAGAGGAGACAGCUCAAGGGCGUAAAAAAAAAAAAGCCCGCUACUUACUGCUCCUGAAUAGAGUUGAGAGGAGUGUCCAAAAAGGGAAAUCAUAGGAAAAGGGUGAUAAUGUUGAGAAAAAGGGGUAGAAAAUGUUAGAAAAAUUGUAAAUGGAAUAGGAAAUAGAAAAAUGGUUAGAAUGAUAAGAACUACAGUAGAAAAACCAUUAGAGUGCUGUAUAAGGGUGAGAUGGAAAAAUAGUAUGAUGAGAAAUAGUUAGAAUGACGAGAAAGAGGGUAAAGAAUGGUAGGAAAAGGGUAGGGAAAUUAUUAGACCAUUGAAAUAGUAGGAAAUAAUAGACAUGAUUGGAGUAUUCAGAAAUAUGUUACAGAAAAUGACAGAAAAGGGUGAGAACGUUGAGAAAAAGAGAAGAAAAUGUUAGAAAAAUUGUAAAUGGAUUAGGAAAUAGAAAAAUGGUUAGAAUGUCAAGAAAUACAGUAGAAAAGCCAUUAGAGUGCUGUAAAAGGGUGAGAUGGAAAAGUAUUAUGAUGAGAAAUAGUUAGGAUGACGAGAAGGGUAGAAUAAUGACAAAGAAGGGGUAGAAAAUGUUAGAAAAAUUGUAAAUGGAAUAGGAAAUAGAAAAAUGGUUAGAAUGUCAAGAAAUACAGUAGAAAAACCAUUAGAGUGCUGUAAAAGGGUGAGAUGGAAAAAUGUUAUGAUGAGAAAUAGUUAGAAUGACAAGAAGGAGGGUAGAAUAAUGGCAAAGAAGGGGUAGAAAAUUGGUUAGAAUGUUGAAAUGAUAGAAAUUAAUAGACAAAUGGUUGGAGUAUUCAUGAAGAUGUUACAGAAAAUAAUAGUAAAGGGGUUGAAAAUGUUAGAAAAAAUUGUAAAUGGAAUAGGAAGUAGAAAAAUGGCUAGAAAUGUCAAGAAAUAAUAAAGUAGAAAAGAAAUAAUAAAAUAGAAAAAUCAUUAGAGUGUGUAAAAGGGUGAGAUAGGUAAAUGUUAAUAACUAUAGCUCAAUUUAGGUUUGUGUGGUGAUAAAAAGAACAGUAUAAGCUAGGGCCAACAGAGAACCAGGUGGAGAUAAGAAAUUAGCACCUUUGGCAGAGUGGGAUAGAGUACACCAAUCAGAGAGGAGCAUGUGGAAAAUGUUAGAAAGAAAUCAUUGUCCUAGAGUGAAUUAAUACUGAUUUCGUGAUCAUGUUAGUUCGUCGGAGAUAAUAGACAAAACUAGAUGAUGGAAAGGGAGUAGUUGAUGAUAGUGAAGGAUUUGAAUACUGGAGGAAGGUGACUGGCUAAAAAAAUGGAAUCCGAAUAUUUGAGUGGAGAGAACGGGGACAUCGGAUAAUGGUGAAAAGUGAAGAAAAGGAUGAAUAAAGAGCACUAUAGGAAAGAGAACAGUGAUGAAAAAAUAUAACAUCUCAGUACUAAAGGUUUGUGUGAUAGUGUUUUCAUUCAAGGAGGAUAAGAACAGAAGAAAAAAAAAUGAAAAAGGUUGAAAGAGUCGAGAAAGUUAAGAACAGGAAGAAAUACAAAAGAAUGAAGAAGGUUGAAUGAGUCGAGAAAGUUAAGAACAGGAAAAAAUACAAAAGAAUGAAGAAGGUUGAAUGAGUCGAGAAAGUUAAGAACAGGAAAAAAUACAAAAGAAUGAAGAAGGUUGAAUGAGGCGAGGAAGUUAAGAACAGGAAGAAAUACAAAAGAAUGAAGAAGGUUGAAUGAGCCGAGAAAGUUAAGAACAGGAAAAAAUACAAAAGAAUGAAGAAGGUUGAAUGAGCCGAGGAAGUUAAAGGAAGGCAAGAUAUGAAGAAAAAAAACAUAUAGCAAUUCAUCCCUAAAGGUUUGUGAAGAAAAUACGUAUUGAAGACAAGAGAAAGAAUAGAUAAUGAAGAGGGACUUGAAUGAACUGAAUAUAGAGGAAUGAAUGGUUAGUUUGCACAGUAAGAAUGAGGAGCAGAAUUGAUAGUGAAAGAUAAUGAAUGAAGAUGAAAAACUAAUGAGAGAUAUGAACGGUUAGGAUACUGAAGAAAAACAUGUAUCGAAAGAGAAAAACAUGGAUAAGAUAAUGAUAAAGGAAGAUGAUUAUAAAGAGCUUAAUGAUGGUAGACGUAAAUGAUGGAAGGUGAUGGUAGAAGAUAGGAAAUUGAGCUUGAUAAUGAUAUAGGAAUGGCUAGUAAGAUGAAAGAGUAGAAAAAGGAAAAAAGUGAGGGUAAGAUAAUGAGAUAGGAAGAAGGAGUAAUAUAGGGAAUAAUGAAGAGUAAAUGAAGUAAGAAUGAACAUCAGAAGACAAGUUGGAAGAUGAAAAAAGUACAGCAUCAAGGAAAAAAAAGGGAGGGUAAGAUAAUCAUUUUGGAAGAAGGAACAGACAGGGAAUAAUGAAGAGUAAAUAAAGUAAGAAUGAACAUAAGAAGACAGGUUGGAAGAUGAAAAAGUGCAGCAUCAAGGAAAAAAAAAGAGGGUAAGAUAAUCAUAUUGGAAGAAGGAAUAAGAUAGGGAAUGAUGAGUAAAUAAAGUAAAAAUGACCAUAAGACAAGUUGGAAGAUGAAAAGUACAGCCAUCUCUUUCACCGUAGGGAAGACAAGUGAAGUGUUUUGAUCAGGAGAAAACAAUAUAAAUUCUUGUCAAGUAGAAUACCCCAAGAUCAAGCAUAAUUCAUGGCAGCUAAAUUCAUGGGACAUUUCAAUUCAUCAACUUUAUUACUAUGAUUUAAAAACUGAUAGACUGCAGAAAACUUUACAGAUGAAAUUGCGGAAAAAGAUGAGGCAACUUAUUAAAAACCUGGUCCUGGCUAUCACGUUGGAGGCGAGAAAGUUGAGUUUUGACGGGAAACACACAAAAGGAAUUCGAUUGUUCUGAAGAAAAUGUUGCGCUCAGCAGGUUAAUGUUGUGAGAGGAGAGCAGAGGAGUAUGCAAAUAACGUGUCGGCACUGUUGUUGUAUUGAAGUUUUAGCUCAGCAUUUCACUGUGAGCGUACGUGACUGAAGGGAAUGCUAGAGUCUGCAUUGCGUUUUGUUUUGGCCGGAAAAAUGAUUUGUUGGCAUCUGCAUAUACCAACCAGUGGAGUGUUUUUUUCAUAAUUUGCUUGAUGUGCUUGUUGUAUGUGUGUGUUGGAGGUACUUGUGGUGAUGAGUGGUUUUGUAUGUUUCCAUCAUUCUGCAUAAGAUGGGGGUAUUAAGUUAUUAGCACACUCCACAGACCUAAUUUCAGUAUACUCUCUUCAAUUUUCUUUUCAUUCUUUUUAACUUUUUUUCAAUUUUCAUUUUGAGGAACUACAAUUUUUAUCUUUUCAGGAACCUAGAUUAAUAACACUCCUAAGAUUUACAUUUAGCAAGACCUUUCAGACAACAUA